AACUAGUGUUGUAUAUCUCGAGAU
rnacentral:siRNA from 1 species